AUUGAACGCUGGCGGCAGGCCUAACACAUGCAAGUCGAGCGAGCGGCGGACGGGUGAGUAAUGUCUGGGAAACUCCCUGAUGGAGGGGGAUAACUACUGGAAACGGUAGCUAAUACCCCCUACCAUCAGAUGUGCCCAGAUGGGAGUAGCUAGUGGGUGGGGUAACGGCUCACCUAGGCGACGAUCCCUAGCUGGUCUGAGAGGAUGACCAGCCACACGGGAACUGAGACACGGUCCAGACUCCUACGGGAGGCAGCAGGGGGGAAUAUUGCACAAUGGGGGCAAGCCUGACGCAGCCAUGCCGCGUGUGUGAAGAAGGCCUUGGGGUUGUAAAGCACUUUCAGCGGGGAGGCGUUACCCGCAGAAGAAGCACCGGCUAACUCCGUGCCAGCAGCCGCGGUAAUAC
rnacentral:rRNA from 1 species